AGCCACAGCCAAAUCAUCCUGCAGCCCAAGACUGGUUACUCACUGAAGCUAAGCAGGGCUGAGCCUGGUCAGUACCAUGAUAGGAAACCACAUGGGAAAAUUAGGUUGCUGUUGGAA
ensembl:rRNA 5S_rRNA 5S ribosomal RNA